rnacentral:rRNA from 1 species
CCUACGGGUGGCUGCAGUGGGGAAUAUUGGGCAAUGGGCGCAAGCCUGACCCAGCAACGCCGCGUGAAGGAAGAAGGCUUUCGGGUUGUAAACUUCUUUUCUUAGGGACGAAGAAAGUGACGGUACCUAAGGAAUAAGCCACGGCUAACUACGUGCCAGCAGCCGCGGUAAUACGUAGGUGGCAAGCGUUAUCCGGAUUUACUGGGUGUAAAGGGCGUGUAGGCGGGACUGCAAGUCAGAUGUGAAAACCAUGGGCUCAACCUGUGGCCUGCAUUUGGAAACUGUAUAGCUUGAGUACUGGAGAGGCAGGCGGAAUUCCUAGUGUAGCGGUGAAAUGAGUAGAUAUUAGGAGGAACACCAGUGGCGAAGGCGGCCUGAUGGACAGAAACUGACGUUGAGGCUCGAAAGCGUGGGGAGCAAACAGGAGUAGAUACCCCUGUAGUC